AGGUGCGAUCGUACCAGCACUAAUGCACAAGAUCCCAUAAGAACUCCGUUGUUUAGCGUGUUUGGGCAAGAGUAGUACUAGGAUGCGUGACCUCUUGGGAAGUCCUCGUGUUGCACCUC
rnacentral:rRNA from 1 species